rnacentral:rRNA from 1 species
GAUGAACGCUGGCGGCGUGCCUAAUACAUGCAAGUCGAGCGGACCAAAGAGAGCUUGCUCUCUGAGGUUAGCGGCGGACGGGUGAGUAACACGUGGGUAACCUGCCUGUAAGACGGGGAUAACUUCGGGAAACCGAAGCUAAUACCGGAUGAUAAAGAGAAACGCCUGUUUCUUUUUUGAAAGUCGGCCUUGUGCUGACGCUUACAGAUGGGCCCGCGGCGCAUUAGCUAGUUGGGUAGGUAACGGCUCACCAAGGCGACGAUGCGGAGCCGACCUGGGAGGGUGCUAGGCCACACUGGGAAUGAGACACGGCCCAGACUCCUACGGGAGGCAGCAGUAGGGAAUCUUCGGCAAUGGACGAAAGUCUGACCGAGCAACGCCGCGUGAGCGAUGAAGGCCUUCGGGUCGUAAAGCUCUGUUGUCAGAGAAGAACAAGUACCGGAGUAACUGCCGGUACCUUGACGGUACCUGACCAGAAAGCCACGGCUAACUACGUGCCAGCCGCCGCAGUAA